GACGAACGCUGGCGGCGUGCUUAACACAUGCAAGUCGAACGGUGAACCUCUUCGGAGGGGAUCAGUGGCGCACGGGUGAGUAACACGUGGGCAACCUGCCCCCGGCUCUGGGAUAACUCCAAGAAAUUGGGGCUAAUACCGGAUGUUCACCGCUUCCCGCAUGGGUGGUGGUGGAAAGGGUUUCCGGCUGGGGAUGGGCCCGCGGCCUAUCAGCUUGUUGGUGGGGUAGUGGCCUACCAAGGCGACGACGGGUAGCCGGCCUGAGAGGGUGACCGGCCACACUGGGACUGAGACACGGCCCAGACUCCUACGGGAGGCAGAAGUGGGGAAUAUUGCGCAAUGGGCGGAAGCCUGACGCAGCGACGCCGCGUGGGGGAUGACGGCCUUCGGGUUGUAAACCUCUUUCAGCAGGGACGAAGCGCAAGUGACGGUACCUGCAGAAGAAGCACCGGCCAACUACGUG
rnacentral:rRNA from 1 species